CAAUAGCGUAUAUUAAAGUUGUUGCGGUUAAAAAGCUCGUAGUUGGAUUUCUGGUAGGAGCGACCGUGCCGAACUUGAUUGUUCGAGUAUUGUGUUGUCUUCAGCCAUCCUCGUGGAGAACUUUUCUAACAUUAACUUGUUGGGAUUGGGACCCGCGUCGUUUACUGUGAAAAAAUUAGAGUGUUUAAAGCAGGCAUUAGCUUGAAUACAUUAGCAUGGAAUAAUAAGAUAGGACUUUGGUACUAUUUUGUUGGUUUGCAUACCAAAUUAAUGAUCAACAGGAACAGUUUGAGGAUAUUCGUAUGAACAUGUCAGAGGUGAAAUUCUUGGAUUUUGAUCAGACGAACUACUGCGAAAGCAUUUAUCAAGGAUGUUUUCAUUAA
rnacentral:rRNA from 1 species